rnacentral:rRNA from 1 species
GCCGCCCCCUUUCUUCUUGCCUAAUACAUGCAAGUUGAGCGCUGAAGGUUGGUACUUGUACCAACUGGAUGAGCAGCGAACGGGUGAGUAACGCGUGGGGAAUCUGCCUUUGAGCGGGGGACAACAUUUGGAAACGAAUGCUAAUACCGCAUAAAAACUUUAAACACAAGUUUUAAGUUUGAAAGAUGCAAUUGCAUCACUCAAAGAUGAUCCCGCGUUGUAUUAGCUAGUUGGUGAGGUAAAGGCUCACCAAGGCGAUGAUACAUAGCCGACCUGAGAGGGUGAUCGGCCACAUUGGGACUGAGACACGGCCCAAACUCCUACGGGAGGCAGCAGUAGGGAAUCUUCGGCAAUGGACGAAAGUCUGACCGAGCAACGCCGCGUGAGUGAAGAAGGUUUUCGGAUCGUAAAACUCUGUUGGUAGAGAAGAACGUUGGUGAGAGUGGAAAGCUCAUCAAGUGACGGUAACUACCCAGAAAGGGACGGCUAACUACGU